UACGAAGGGGGCUAGCGUUGCUCGGAAUCACUGGGCGUAAAGCGCACGUAGGCGGACUCUUAAGUCGGUGGUGAAAUCCUGGAGCUCAACUCCAGAACUGCCUUCGAUACUGAGAGUCUCGAGUCCGAGAGAGGUGAGUGGAACUGCGAGUGUAGAGGUGAAAUUCGUAGAUAUUCGCAAGAACACCAGUGGCGAAGGCGGCUCACUGGCUCGUUACUGACGCUGAGGUGCGAAAGCGUGGGGAGCAAACAGG
rnacentral:rRNA from 1 species